rnacentral:rRNA from 1 species
CAGCAGUAGCCGCGGGAAUACGUAGGUGGCAAGCGUUGUCCGGAAUUAUUGGGCGUAAAGGGCUCGCAGGCGGUUUCUUAAGUCUGAUGUGAAAGCCCCCGGCUCAACCGGGGAGGGUCAUUGGAAACUGGGAAACUCGAGUGCAGAAGAGGAGAGUGGAAUUCCACGUGUAGCGGUGAAAUGCGUAGAGAUGUGGAGGAACACCAGUGGCGAAGGCGACUCUCUGGUCUGUAACUGACGCUGAGGAGCGAAAGCGUGGGGAGCGAACAGGAUUAGAUACCCGCGUAGUCCCUGUCUCUUAUAC